rnacentral:rRNA from 1 species
AACGGGGGGGGCAAGUGUCAUCCGGAAUUAUUGGGCGUAAAGCGCGCGUAGGCGGCUUUGUAAGUUAGAGGUGAAAGCCCGGAGCUCAACUCCGGAACUGCCUUUAAGACUGCAUCGCUAGAAUUGUGGAGAGGUGAGUGGAAUUCCGAGUGUAGAGGUGAAAUUCGUAGAUAUUCGGAAGAACACCAGUGGCGAAGGCGACUCACUGGACACAUAUUGACGCUGAGGUGCGAAAGCGUGGGGAGCAAACAGG